rnacentral:rRNA from 1 species
UACGGGGGGGGCAAGCGUUGUUCGGAAUUACUGGGCGUAAAGGGCUCGUAGGCGGCCAACUAAGUCGGAUGUGAAAUCCCCAAGCUUAACUUGGGAACUGCAUCCGAUACUGGAUGGCUUGAAUCCGGGAGAGGGAUGCAGAAUUCCAGGUGUAGCGGUGAAAUGCGUAGAUAUCUGGAGGAACACCGGUGGCGAAGGCGGCAUCCUGGACCAAUUCUGACGCUGAGGAGCGAAAGCCAGGGGAGCAAACGGG